ACUUAUAACCUCAUGUUAUAGUCACCUCAUCAUAUUUCCCUAGAGCAUGAUGCCAUUACGCGAUAUCCCUUUAGGUACGCAUGUAUCCCCCCCCCCAUUCAGCUCCAUAAGUAUUUGGACAGAGACACGGUCUCGGAAUUUUGCCUCCGCACGCCACCGCGAUGGAUUUGAAGUGACGCCGUCGACACGGGGCUGGAGUCUGGAUUUUCGGGUUUUAUCCGAGGGGUUUAGCGAUGGUAUUGAUUUAACCGGUUAGUCCUCAUGUUCGUAGGCUCAAAAGUAAUCGGACAAUUGACUGAUCAGCAGUUUUAUGGACAGGUGUGGCCUUCACCCUCCCAAUCCGGUAGCGGUCAUAUGACAGGGGAGACCUAACUGAUGGGUGGAUAUUGGCCGAGGCUAAAUUAGGAAGUAAAUAAAUAAAUAAAUAAAUAAAAGGGAAUAAACAAAGUUGGAAGCACGACAUCUAAUAAAUGUCUUCGUAUGCUGUAGCAUGAAGAAUUCCCUUCGCUGGUAAGGUGAGGUCCGUGAGGACGUGGUUUGCCGGGGUUGAACUCGAGGGGCCUCCUCGUCCUGAUAUCGGUGCCCAACGCCUGGAGCCCUUGUGGCUGAACGAGCACAAAUCCCCACAGCUACACUACAGCAAAGGGCGGGACAACUCGAUAUUACCGCCCAUAUUUUAAGAAUGGGACGUGCAACACGUUUGGCCAUAUAGUGCAGCAGUCGUAUCCGUCUUAUCUGCAUUUCAAGCUCUUACUCGUUCAAGCUUCGACGUGCUGUGCACUCUGAGGUGCUGUUCUGCUCACCACGGCUGUACGGAGUGGUUACCGGAGCCACUGUAGCCUUUCAGCCAGCUCGAACCAGUCCAUCCAUUCUCCGCUGAUCUCAUCAACAAGGCGUGUCCGUCCUCUGAACUACCGCUCACUGAUGUUCUUCUGUAUUGCACCAUUCAGAGUAAACUCUACACACUCUACUAUAUACUCGAAUAAAUACUCUAACCAGCUGGCUUGGCGCCAACAAAUCACACGGUGCUCAGAGUCACCGAGAUGACACGUUUUCCUAAUAAAGUGCUCGGUGAGCGAGUGUACUGCACGUCAUGAAACGGUGUCGUCUAACGCAAGACGUUUCCGUGCGUAGACGAGGUUUACCCCUGUGCGUCCUACCCUCCUUCACCAUCUCCGUCUAAUGUUUUCAGUCUAAAUGGAGUAACACCUCACCACAGCGCCGAACUCAUUCAUGAUCAAAUGGGAGAUUUAUCACUACUGAUUUUUCUCGAUUGUAAUCAUUAGUCGUUGCAGCCCUGACUCGUGGCGUCGUGUUGAACGGUUAAAGGUGUACGACUCUUACCUGGAGCACCGUGUAAGCCUAGAAAGCUAACGCUCCAUAGUUCCUGCAACACAGCGGGAGACCUGUGGUAGAAAAUCUUCUGAUUCGUCCGGGACGGAGCUUCACGGAGCACAGUCUUCCAACCUUCGACGGUCAGUCUGGAAGAGAAGAAUAUACAAGAAGCAGCGUUUCUUCACACCAGUGGGAAGCCUGUUGAGAUCACGUGCUUCUUAAAGACCUUCGGUCUGGGUUGGACAUCGUACUUGGCGAAGACAUUCUUCUGGCCAUCGGUUCGGGUGGAAAAACUUUUUCUUUUUUUUUUUUUUUACCACACUCUGGAUUUUCUCAGAAAUUUACGACGUUAUCCAAAAACUGUAGCUGACAUUUUAUGAAUCACUCGUGCUCUUGGAGGACAUCCGAUUUGACGUUAGACACCUUUGGCGCAGUAAUGAAGGAUACAUGCCAUGGUUGAAGACCUCUGGUCUGACGGAACCUAAAAGAUCAGGUCAGAGAUCAGCACUGAUCCCUGAAGUCACGGCUAAACACGGUUUCAGGGCCGGAAGGACGAGGACACUGAGGAAAGACAGCAGAGCAGAGCAGUGCAGUAGCAGUACGUGGACACCUGAGUAUCACAUCCAUAUAUGAGGUUCUUCCCAAAACCGUUCUCGGUGUCUCGGUGUGCUUUAGCGUUACAGUUUCCCUUCGCAGGAAUUAAGACGCCCGACCCUGCCCCAGGUGCACAAAGUGAGCUCCAUGAAGACACGGGAAGACCUCUAGUGUCCUACAGUACCCUGAAGGAACACAAAUCCCCACAGCCAUGCUCCAACAUCUAGUGGAAAGCCUUCCCAGAAGACUGGAGGUAAUUACGACCGCAAAGAAGGGAAUAAAUCCGGACAAGCACACGCAGGUGUAGACGGGCGGGUGUCCGCAAACUAUCGGCCAUCCGGCGUGUACGGUACGUGAUCCGCGCGGGUUAAAUCACCCGCCUGGUAAUAAGCGUUCUGGAACACGGAAUGCCAGUCGCGCCACACGCGGAUAAACGUUACUACGGCAACCAGGAGUAGGACCGCCUCCUGCCUGGCGACUUCAUUUUACAGCGACCGGUAAAAAUAAAUAAAUAAAUGCUUUUUUAAAAAUGGUGUAUGAGGAGUGAACGCAGCAUUAUUCAGGCAAGGCGUGUGUAGGUAAAUACACCUGGUUGUACUGAAACCGAGUCUGUUCUGUGUGACUGACUGCGAAGAGCACGACACUCAACUCUUUAAGCUUCAGACGUUUCCUUAUUGAACCGUAAAACCACGAAACCACACAGAGUCAACAAACGCUUUAUCUGCAUGACCUUUUCAAAUAAAACCAAAACACACACACACACACACACACACACACACACACACACACACACACACACACCCCGACUCAAUGACAAAAUACAGCGGCAGCAUUUCCCAGCGAGUCCGAGUACCGAGUAAUGUUACCCUAAUAAAGAUUUCCAUCGCUAAAAAUAACCACACACGCAAUGAAGUAUUUACAAACAGUAAACAAACCUCAUCCAGCUGAGUCUGACCGAAACUCUGCGGUGACGAGAUCGCUUACCGUCGAACUAAGAAGCAUAAAAACUGAUCUGCAAUAAAACAAACACUUUUCCCUAACAGUUUAUAACGUUUAUCACGUGGAUCUGGAUUAGACAUCGACC
ensembl:lncRNA